rnacentral:tRNA from 1 species
GGGUCGUUAGCUCAGCUGGUAGAGCAGCGGACUUUUAAUCCGUUGGUCGCAGGUUCAAAUCCCGCACGACCCACCA